rnacentral:rRNA from 12 species
UUUCUGGGUUUCGUCGACGAAGAAGGCGACGCAGAUGGAGAUAAGGAAGGCGUCGGCGUUACGGGCAGGGGUUCGUCCCCCAUCGCAUUUCUCACCGCCUCUAGCCCCAUGGUCUCCG